GUUCCCGCUUCAGCAGGACACACACUAAAAUUACAAUAAUACAGGGCGGUCAGCCUGGCCCCUGCACAAGGGUGACAUACAAAUUUGCAAAGCAUUCCAUUGUUUA